rnacentral:rRNA from 1 species
GACGAACGCUGGCGGCGUGCCUAACACAUGCAAGUGGAGCGACGAACCAGGCUUCGGCCUGGGGCAGAGCCGCGAACGGGUGAGUAACACGUGGGUAACCUGCCCUGAUGAUUGGGACAACCCGAGGAAACUCGGGCUAAUACCAAAUGUGCCCUCCGACCAUAAGGUCGCUGGGGAAAGGAAGCUUCGGCCUCCGCAUCGGGAUGGGCCCGCGGCCCAUUAGCUUGUUGGUGAGGUAANGGCUCACCAAGGCAACGAUGGGUAGCUGGUCUGAGAGGACGAUCAGCCACACUGGGACUGAGACACGGCCCAGACUCCUACGGGAGGCAGCAGUGGGGAAUCUUGCGCAAUGCGCGAAAGCGUGACGCAGCAACGCCGCGUGGGGGAAGAAGGCCU